rnacentral:rRNA from 1 species
CAGCAGCCGCGGGAAUACGAAGGGGGCUAGCGUUGUUCGGAAUUACUGGGCGUAAAGCGCACGUAGGCGGAUCGAUCAGUCAGGGGUGAAAUCCCAGGGCUCAACCCUGGAACUGCCUUUGAUACUGUCGAUCUGGAGUAUGGAAGAGGUGAGUGGAAUUCCGAGUGUAGAGGUGAAAUUCGUAGAUAUUCGGAGGAACACCAGUGGCGAAGGCGGCUCACUGGUCCAUUACUGACGCUGAGGUGCGAAAGCGUGGGGAGCAAACAGGAUUAGAUACCCCCGUAGUCCUGUCUCUUAUACA